GGCUCGCUCGGCUCCGCUCGGCUCCGCUCGGCUCGGCUCGGCUCCGCUCGGCUCGGCUCCGCUCGGCUCCGCUCGGUUCGGGUUCUGCUCCAGGCGGCUCUGCCAUCCUCGACGGUGACUUUUGUACGACUGCGUUUUUAAUCAUCGCUCUGAAGUGCUGCUGUGCCUUAUUCUGUGUACUGUGCACCCCCCAAAUCUUCGUCGGGGGGAACAGACAACCACCUGUAGUCACAGGCUUAAUCAAACAAGCCCAUGCCAUGCUCAGAGCCCUUCUCCGCCUUUAUUUCUUAGUUUCUUCCCAUACUUAGUUUCUCCCCUCGAAAGGAGAGGGAAAGGCGUUUCCGGAAGGCGUAUCUGAUCACAGAACCACCCCCAGCCCCGCUGGUCUCCCAUGAAACCAACCCCGGCCUUACCGUACGGUGCCUUGCCCGGCCCAGCCUCGCCUCCCUGCUCCCAGCCGGCUGUGCCCUGCUACCAUCUCUGGGAGAAAAGAGCUGUGGAAGGGGAGAAAAGGUCACUGUCAGGAUUAAUCAGGACUGUAAUUUGCCAUGCGCUUUUUAGCCCUUUAAUGGAGCUCUAACUGUAGCUGUCCUCCAGCUCUGACCCUUCCCAGCUGUGGAGCUGUUCAGUGUCAGUGCAGGUGCCCUUAGGUAUCCAAGACACAGGGCUGGCAGGUAUGAAAUAGGACCUAACUUACUACAUCACAUCUAAAAUGACAUCAGACAUCAGUGUCCGGGAAACUGACUUGCUCCUUAAAACAUUCCCCAUUGACCCAGUGUGCUCAGGAAUUAGUCCAGGAUCUGCUCUGCUGAUGCGUGGCCUUGAUUCCCCUUUGCCCCUCCCUUGUGAAAAUUAAGUCAGAGGAAACUGAAAGAGGCAGACCCUCCUGGUGAAGUAGCAGAGGGAUGCAAAGUGAGUCUGUGUGCUAACUGGGUGGAGAAGUUACUCAUGUGCCAGGCAGGCACACGUUGUGUGAAAACAGGAGCUGCAGAGACCCUCUGAGGAUUCUUGAUGUGCUGCUGAAGUGCCAUGCUGGUGGUGAAGAUUUAAAAAUGCUGACAUCUAAUACAAGAGCUCGUCCAGAUUCUAUGACUGUGAAAUACUGUACAAAUACCUAAAUCUGGUACCACGGUAACUUGGAAGAACAGUUCUUACGUCUGAUUUUCCAUGUCUACAAAUAUGAAAAACAAGCUGCUUCAAAUACUAUCUUGAUUUCUUUAUUUGCCAAAAUUCUAUUAGUAUCUUCAGCUUGUCUUUAUUUGACUGCAUAAUUUUCCAAGUCUACUAUAUGUCUCCAUGUAUUCUCUAAACAUUUUUUCCCCAAAAUACAGUUAUUCGGGCCCUCGUCUAUACCUGCACUGAGACACAGAGCCACCAGACACCAAAGACAGUACUAGAAGCACCACAGGGAAUUCUGAAAUUACUAUCUGUAGUUUUAAUCCACGAAUUUAUAGCUUGUGUCAGUGGUAGCUGGGAUAAUUAGAAGAUAAUCUGCAUUUCCUUUAACAAGACAAAAAUACCACCCACACUACAAUUAACAAUAGCCCAGGCAGUUCUUAAGAAAUCCAUGCUGAGUGCUGGAUUCACAAAUUGACACUUAACGAUGAAAUCCUGUAUUACAGCAAAGUGAUUGAGAAGUUUACAUAGAACUAGGCACAUUUCACAUAUCUCUUGCCAGUAUCCUGGAUCCUUUCAGUGUCCAGUAUUAGACUGGAUCCAGAGAAGAUCUGAAGGUGCCAUCACUCAUGUGCAUCUUGUGGAUGACCAAGCGCUGUACAGCCGUACCCCAAGUGCUGAUCCCACCCGGCCGCUGGUUACCUACAGUCAGGACACGCUGUUGUACAGUCCUGGAGAAGUGGCAGGAAUUUCCUUUCAGACAGAAUUCCACCAAUUAUAUCUCAUACCAUUCUGUCAACAAUAAACCUGGGCCAUUCGUUAUA